UCCCCUAGUCUUGGUAUUUACAUAAUGCUCUGAAAAGAUUUAAAAAAGUGUGAACGGGUCUGUGGCUAAACCUUAAGUUGCCAUCAAAAUGAACGGACGUCUUUUGUGGGUGCCUAUUUUACUCAGUGGUCUUGUGUCUUUGGCAGCUGGUCAACGGUGCUGGUGUGAUAAUGCUAUUACUGUGCGGUGUUGUCCCUACAUCGGUGGAGCUGAUUCGGUAUAGAGAUCCUCUUUCUCUCUCGAAGCUGUCCUGAGGCGGAAGUGAUUCAAAUAUAUUUUGACUUAUGCCUUGA